UACGUAGGCAGCGAGCGUUGUUCGGAGUUACUGGGCGUAAAGGGUGUGUAGGCGGUUUUUUAAGUUUGGUGUGAAAUCUCCCGGCUCAACUGGGAGGGUGCGCCGAAUACUGAAUGACUUGGAGUGCGGGAGAGGAGAGUGGAAUUCCUGGUGUAGCGGUGAAAUGCGUAGAUAUCAGGAGGAACACCGGUGGUGUAGGCGGCUCUCUGGACCGUAACUGACGCUGAGACACGAAAGCGUGGGUAGCAAACAGG
rnacentral:rRNA from 1 species